rnacentral:rRNA from 1 species
GACGAACCGUGCGAACGUUAUUCGGAAUCACUGGGCUUAAAGCGCGUGUAGGCGGGAGGGCACGUCCGUCGCUGAAAUCCCCCGGCUCAACCGGGGAACGGGCGCGGAUACGACCUUCCUGGAGGGGCGUAGGGGGACCUGGAACUUCCGGUGGAGCGGUGAAAUGCGUUGAGAUCGGAAGGAACGCCCCGUGGCGAAAGCGAGGUCCUGGACGCCUACUGACGCUGAGACGCGAAAAGCCCAGGGGGGAGCGAAACGGG